UACGUAGGGACCGAGCGUUGUCCGGAAUUAUUGGGCGUAAAGCGCGUGUAGGCGGCUUAGCAAGUCGGGCGUGAAAGCCCUCGGCUCAACCGAGGAAGUGCACCCGAAACUGCUGAGCUUGAGUGCCGGAGAGGAUGGCGGAAUUCCCCAAGUAGAGGUGAAAUUCGUAGAUAUGGGGAGGAACACCGGUGGCGAAGGCGGCCAUCUGGACGGUAACUGACGCUGAGACGCGAAAGCGUGGGGAGCAAACAGG
rnacentral:rRNA from 1 species